CAAACUAUGUAACAGUAAUCUUAAUUAUCAGUUUAUGACGGUGGCUAACGCUCAGAAAUGAGGUGAUGCCUAUGUUGCUUACGCGUUACCUUGAGAAAGGAUAACAUGUCGGCUUUCAAUGCGCUGAUGUUGGCAAUUCGGUUGCCGUGUUGGUCAUUGAGAAUCUGAAAUUUAA
rnacentral:sRNA from 1 species